GACGAACGCUGGCGGCGUGCCUAACACAUGCAAGUCUUGGGAGAAAGAGGUAGCAAUAUCUUGAGUAAACCGGCGCAAGGGUGAGUAACACGUAGGCAACCUGCCUAUAGGACGGGAAUAACUCCGAGAAAUCGGGGCUAAUGCCCGAUGAUGCAAUGAUAUCACAUGGUAUUAUUGCCAAAAGCCCCAAAAGGGUGCCGAUAGAUGGGCCUGCGUCCCAUUAGGUAGUUGGUGAGGUAACGGCUCACCAAGCCUACGAUGGGUAGCUGGUCUGAGAGGAUGAUCAGCCACACUGGAACUGAGACACGGUCCAGACUCCUACGGGUGGCUG
rnacentral:rRNA from 1 species